UACGGAGGGUGCGAGCGUUGUCCGGAAUCACUGGGCGUAAAGGGCGCGUAGGCGGCCUGGCAAGUCGAUGGUGAAAGCCCGAGGCUCAACUUCGGGUCGGCCACUGAUACUGCUAGGCUUGAGUCGACUAGAGGCAGAUGGAAUUCCGGGUGUAGCGGUGGAAUGCGUAGAGAUCCGGAAGAACACCGGUGGCGAAGGCGGUCUGCUGGGGUCGAACUGACGCUGAGGCGCGACAGCGUGGGGAGCAAACAGG
rnacentral:rRNA from 2 species